rnacentral:rRNA from 1 species
GUGGGGAAUCUUAGACAAUGGGCGCAAGCCUGACCCAGCAACGCCGCGUGAAGGAAGAAGGUUUUCGGAUCGUAAACUUCUAUCCUUGGUGAAGAUAAUGACGGUAGCCAAGAAGGAAGCCCCGGCUAACUACGUGCCAGCAGCCGCGGUAAUACGUAGGGGGCAAGCGUUGUCCGGAAUGAUUGGGCGUAAAGGGCGCGUAGGCGGCCCGGUAAGUCUGAAGUGAAAGUCCUGCUUUUAAGGUGGGAAUUGCUUUGGAUACUGUCGGGCUUGAGUGCAGGAGAGGUAAGCGGAAUUCCCGGUGUAGCGGUGAAAUGCGUAGAGAUCGGGAGGAACACCAGUGGCGAAGGCGGCUUACUGGACUGUAACUGACGCUGAGGCGCGAAAGUGUGGGGAGCAAACAGGAUUAGAUACCCGAGUAGUCC